ACGGAAGGCAGCAGUGGGGGAUAUUGCACAAUGGAGGAAACUCUGAUGCAGCAACGCCGCGUGAGGGAAGAAGGUCUUCGGAUUGUAAACCUAAGUUAUCAGGGACGAAACAAAUGACGGUACCUGAAGAGAAAGCUCCGGCUAACUACGUGCCAGCAGCCGCGGUAAUACGUAGGGAGCGAGCGUUGUCCGGAUUUACUGGGUGUAAAGGGUGCGUAGGCGGGCUUGCAAGUCAGGCGUGAAAUCCCGCGGCUUAACUGCGGGGCUGCGCUUGAAACUGUAGGUCUUGAGUGAGGUAGAGGCAAGCGGAAUUCCCAGUGUAGCGGUGAAAUGCGUAGAUAUUGGGAGGAACACCAGUGGCGAAGGCGGCUUGCUGGGCCUUAACUGACGCUGAGGCACGAAAGUAUGGGGAGCAAACAGGAUUAGAUACCCUGGUA
rnacentral:rRNA from 1 species